rnacentral:lncRNA from 1 species
AGCUGUUGCAACAGCAGAACUAGAAUUCGACCUCCGACAUUUCUGCUCACCAGAGGGCAUGAACUGCUGGUUGUAGAUGAGCAUGAGAGUGUGGAGCAGAGUUGGCGAGUGCAAGUCGAGCCCAUCAACCUGGACAGCUGUCUCCGUGCUUUCACCAGUGAGGAAGAGCUAGGGGAAGAUGAGAUAUACUACUGUUCCAAGUGUAAGACCCACUGCUUUAGCAACAAAGAAGCUGGAUCUCUGGAGGCUUCCA